UCUCUCUCUCGCUCUAGGUUUCAACGCAGGGGAUUACAUUCCAGGACGAAUGGCCCUACUCGAUUCAUCUUCUAGGCCACAUCUACAUCGACGACAUCAGAGAAGUCUACUGGGAUUAACUACGGUUGCAAAUCGAUCCCAAAGAAGAAGCUCAUCUGCAAAUCAAUCCCAAAGAAGAAGUUCAUCAAUCAUACUGGAAUCCAGCUGCCCGUUGAAGCUCUUGGGAAAUUUGGGUUUCAUCGUUCAGCUUGGAAGCUGCCCGUCAAAGCUC